AAAAGUAGGCGCAGGCGGUUGCGGGUGAGCGAAAGCUUGUCUGAGGAAAGUCCGGGCUCCCGAAAAACCAAACUUGCUGGGUAACGCCCAGUGCGAGCGAUCGUGAGGAUAGUGCCACAGAAAGAUACCGCCAAUUAGUCAUUAGUCAGCAGUCAUUGCUCGUUAGUAAGUAACUGAGGAUUUUUGACUGGGAAGCAACAACUAAUUUGGUAAGGGUGCAAAGGUGCGGUAAGAGCGCACCAGCAGCAUCGAGAGGUGCUGGCUCGGUAAACCCCAGUUGGGAGCAAGGUCGGAGGGACUAUGGUUGGUUUUUUACCAGUUCCGUUUUUUGGUACCGCUUGAGGCGUCUGGUAACAGGCGUCCCAGAUAGAUAACUGCCCUCGAAAACUGCUUGCAGUGGAGAGAACAGAACCCGGCUUAUGUCCGACUUUUUCCC
rfam:Oscillatoria nigro-viridis PCC 7112, complete genome.